AUGCCCUUCACCGGCGUGUCUGUCAUCACCGAUGGAAGAGCGCCACGAUCUUCCUCGCCAACCGCAAGCAGCAACACCUCCAGCGGCUACCACCUGCUCAUAGUCGAGGGGUACUCGCGCACCAAGAGCAGCACACACACGGGAGAGUGCAUCAGGUCUUGCCCUUUCAUGGUUGGCGGCUACCUUUGGUGCAUCCAGUACUACCCCAAUGGCGCCAAGUCGGAGAACGCAGAUUUUAUAUCUCUUUAUCUUGGUCUUCUUAACAAUGACGAUGCUGCACUUGCAAGCCCAUUGAAGUUGCAGUUCGAGAUUAGUUUCGUCGAUCAGAUUUACAAUCAAGAAUCCACGCAGAUUCGCGCUGGCCAAGUAUAUGAAUUGCCUAGAAGCUGCGGCCUAUCACCAGUUAAUCAGAGGGACACCUUGGAAAGAUCAAAGUACCUUAAGGAUGACAGUUUCACCCUCCGUUGUGACAUCGUGGUCAUUGGCGAUGCUAACAGCAGGGACACUGCCACCACUUCUCCGUCCAUCAAGGUGCCUUCUUCGGACAUGCAACAGCAUUUCAGCGAUCUUCUUCUGGCCGAGGAGGGAACGGACGUGACGUUCAAGGUCGGCGGCGAGACGAUCGCCGCACACCGUUGUGUGCUAGCGGCCCGAUCUGCCGUCUUCAAGGCAGAGCUCUUUGGCACCAUGAAAGAAGGCAUGAUGACUACAAGCGUCAUACAGGUUGACGACAUGGACGCGCAAGUUUUCAGGGCGAUGCUUGGGUUCAUUUACAGUGACUCGCCGUCGGAGAUAGAGGAGGAAGAAGAUGCAGAUGUGAUGUGGCAGCACCUGCUCAUCGCUGCUGACAGGUAUGAUCUCCGGCGACUAAGGCUGAUGUGUGAAGAGAAGCUGUCCGAGUACGUCGACGUGACCACGGCCACGACCAUCUUGACGCUAGCUGAGCAGCACAACUGUCGCGGGUUGAAGGAGACGUGCUUGGAGUUUCUCAACUCUCCUGCAAACCUGCAAAAAGUCAUGGCGUCCGGUGGUUUGGAUAGUCUUGCUGCAUGCUGCCCCUCUGUUCUGAAAGAUCUCAUUGCCAAGCUUAAUUAA
rnacentral:rRNA from 1 species